rnacentral:rRNA from 1 species
AUUGAACGCUGGCGGCAUGCCUUACACAUGCAAGUCGAACGGCAGCACGGGAGCAAUCCUGGUGGCGAGUGGCGAACGGGUGAGUAAUAUAUCGGAACGUGCCCAGUCGUGGGGGAUAACGUAGCGAAAGUUACGCUAAUACCGCAUACGAUCUAAGGAUGAAAGCGGGGGAUCGCAAGACCUCGCGCGAUUGGAGCGGCCGAUAUCAGAUUAGGUAGUUGGUGAGGUAAAGGCUCACCAAGCCAACGAUCUGUAGCUGGUCUGAGAGGACGACCAGCCACACUGGAACUGAGACACGGUCCAGACUCCUACGGGAGGCAGCAGUGGGAAUUUUGGACAAUGGACGCAAGUCUGAUCCAGCCAUUCCGCGUGCAGGAUGAAGGCCCUCGGGUUGUAAACUGCUUUUGUACGGAACGAAACGGCGAGCUCUAAUACAGUUUGCUAAUGACGGUACCGUAAGAAUAAGCACCGGCUAACUACGUGCCAG